ACUCCACUCCAAGCAGCCACCUCCACUGGGGCUGGCCUGACCUGGCCACUUCCUUCAGUUCCCUGGAACCCCAAAGGCAUCGGCCUCUUCUGGACUCCCCUCUACCUUUGCCUUUCCCUUGAUCAUAAGGGAUUCCCUUUGGCCCACUAAAGCCUGCAGACUCUUUCUUGGAACUUCAAAUGGGUUACACUCACUGGCAACCACAGGCAAGAGACAAGGUCAGGCAGGAGCUUGGGUUCUGAACCGGAGCAGGGCUGACAGUCCCUUGGAGGGAGACCCAUAGGCCCCCAAUUUUGACCUUCCUGGGACCCUGUGUCUUUGCUGGCCCACUCUACCAUCACCACGCUCAGAACACCUCCAGCCUUGUCCGGGAAGGCAGACAAAGUCAACAACAGGAGAUUCCCAUCGCAGGUAAUUUUUCCAAGCUGGCGAGAGAGUGAACAAAGCCACAAAGGGUCAACUAUGUGCUUCUAAAAGACAGAUUUUAAAGAAGACCAUCAAUGCUCAGUCCUGCGUCCUAGCUCCAGAGCAUGCAGACCAAGAGAAACAGACCCACAUACCUGACUUCUCCUGAAGGUUGGCCUAUGAAGAAAUGGAAAGGAAACCCUGGGCAACCCCAGCCGAAAUUCUGCACGCUUCCCCAUCUCUUUGUGAUGGUUCGGCCACAUGCUUUCCCAUUCCACCGCACUAUGAACCUUACUAAAAAUGGACUGACUUGACGAUUGUACUCCAGUGCUGAAUACAUUUUGAAUCUAGUUGAAA